rnacentral:pre_miRNA from 1 species
UACUUGCGCUCUCUAAUUCGCUUGGUGCAGGUCGGGAACUAAUUGCUUCUCGUCCCCUAGAUUUGCCGACGCCAUCUUCUCUGCCCCGUUCUCUUCCGCUGAGAUAUGGUGGCUGUCGUCGUCAAGGGUAGAGCGAAUUAGAUCCCGCCUUGCAUCAACUGAAUCGGAUACCGCAGUA